rnacentral:tRNA from 1 species
GGGUUCGUGAUGGAAUUGGCAGACAUCGCCGCUUGCCAAGCUGCGGCCGAAAGGCGUGAGGGUUCGAGUCCCUCCGGGCUUU